CACAGGCACUCUGCCUACACCUGCCAGAGUGCUGGGCUCCACACCCCCUCGGUUACUUCAUGGUCCCUGCCAACAAGGUUCCUACCUCCUCCUCAGUUCCCCGCUGAUUCCUCUCUGCCUGAAACGGCCAACCAGCUAAAAGGUUUUUUGAAUUUUGAUACGGAAUAAAAGUAUCAGUUCCAGGUUGCAGAUCUGUAGGAAGAGGCUCUGGGGAAACUUCUGACUUGCUGCUGACACCUGAACACUUACUUCCAGAUCCCCACAUCUCAGAAAAAAAAAAAAUUCUUUCUCUUCCAGUAACAUUUUGCUACGAAGUGUGGUGUGGCACUAGGCCAUAAUCCCAGAACUCAAGAGACAGAGGAGAGGCAGGAGGAUCACAGAUUUGAAACCAACCUGGUUUGAAGCUUCAGGCUAAGUUCUAAGACAGCCAGAGCUACAGUUCAACAGUAUCUCAGAAAACAAAGAGGAGAUAACGCCACCCAAGUCCUUGGAAAAUGGAUUAUAAGUGUGAAGGAAUUCCAAAGCCAAGGCUAUAAAGAAAUGUGAAGGAAUUCCAAAGCCAAGGCUAUAAAUAAGUGUGAAGGAAUUCCAAAGCCAAGGCUAUAAAGAAGCCAGGCAUGCCAGCCAACUCAAACCUCUAAUUCCAGUAUUCUGGAGGUGGAGCAAGCUUGUUAUGAGUCCAAGGCUAGCCUGGGCUCCAAAAUGAAUUCCAAGCCAUCUUGGACCACAGAGAUAGGGGAGAGCCUGCUUUUUAUAGAGCCAAAGCUCAAAACUGUUGAAGAGUAUAAACACACAACUUUGAAGAUACAAAGUCAUUAAAAAGUCUCCUUGGUGGGCACUACCAAUACUUUGGGUACAAUAAAAGGUUUUUAGUUACUUGGGAUAACUUAA